GUCUGUCUUAAAAGUUCGGGGCUUAACCCCGUGAUGGGAUGGAAACUGCUGAUCUAGAGUAUCGGAGAGGAAAGUGGAAUUCCUAGUGUAGCGGUGAAAUGCGUAGAUAUUAGGAAGAACACCAGUGGCGAAGGCGACUUUCUGGACGAAAACUGACGCUGAGGCGCGAAAGCCAGGGGAGCGAACGGGAUUAGAUACCCCGGUAGUCCUGGCCGUAAACGAUGGGUACUAGGUGUAGGAGGUAUCGACCCCUUCUGUGCCGGAGUUAACGCAAUAAGUACCCCGCCUGGGGAGUACGACCGCAAGGUUGAAACUCAAAGGAAUUGACGGGGGCCCGCACAAGCGGUGGAGUAUGUGGUUUAAUUCGACGCAACGCGAAGAACCUUACCAGGUCUUGACAUUGAUGGACAGAACUAGAGAUAGUUCCUCUUCUUCGGAAGCCAGAAAACAGGUGGUGCACGGUUGUCGUCAGCUCGUGUCGUGAGAAG
rnacentral:rRNA from 1 species